GCCUGGCUAGCUCAAUCGGUAGAGCGUGAGACUCUUAUUUCAUCUCAAGGCUGUGGGUUCAAGCCCCACGUCGGGCU